rnacentral:rRNA from 1 species
GAUCCUGGCUCAGGACGAACGCUGGCGGCGCGCCUAACACAUGCAAGUCGAACGAGCGAGAGAGAGCUUCGCUUUCUCGAGCGAGUGGCGAACGGGUGAGUAACGCGUGAGGAACCUGCCUCAAAGAGGGGGACAACAGUUGGAAACGACUGCUAACACCGCAUAAGCCCACGACCUGGCAUCGGGUUGAGGGAAAAGGAGCAAUCCGCUUUGAGAUGGCCUCGCGUCUGAUUAGCUAGUUGGUGAGGCAACGGCUUACCAAGUCGACGAUCAGUAGCCGGACUGAGAGGUUGAACGGCCACAUUGGGACUGAGAUACGGCCCAGACUCCUACGGGAGGCAGCAGUCGGGAAUAUUGCGCAAUGGAGGAAACUCUGACGCAGUGACGCCGCGUGCAGGAAGAAGGUUUUCGGAUUGUAAACUGCUUUAGACAGGGAAGAAAUAAGACAGUACCUGUAGAAUAAGCUCCGGCUAACUACGUGCCAGCAGCCGCGGUAAUACGUAGGGAGCGAGCGUUAUCCGGAUUUAUUGGGUGUAAAGGGUGCGUAGACGGGAAGAUAAGUUAGUUGUGAAAUCCCUCGGCUUAACUGAGGAACUGCAACUAAAACUGUUUUUCUUGAGUACUGGAGAGGAAAGUGGAAUUCCUAGUGUAGCGGUGAAAUGCGUAGAUAUUAGGAGGAACACCAGUGGCGAAGGCGACUUUCUGGACAGAAACUGACGUUGAGGCACGAAAGUGUGGGGAGCAAACAGGAUUAGAUACCCUGGUAGUCCACACCGUAAACGAUGGAUACUAGGUGUAGGGGAUAAUAAAUCCUCUGUGCCGCCGCAAACGCAAUAAGUAUCCCACCUGGGGAGUACGGCCGCAAGGUUGAAACUCAAAGGAAUUGACGG